CAGUAGAGGGAAAGUGGAACUCCAUGUGUAGCGGUGAAAUGCGUAGAUAUAUGGAAGAACACCAGUGGCGAAGGCGGCUGUCUGGUCUGUAACUGACGCUGAGGCUCGAAAGUAUGGGUAGCAAACAGGAUUAGAUACCCUGGUAGUCCAUACCGUAAACGAUGAAUGCUAAGUGUUGGAGGGUUUCCGCCCUUCAGUGCUGCAGCUAACGCAUUAAGCAUUCCGCCUGGGGAGUACGGCCGCAAGGCUGAAACUCAAAGGAAUUGACGGGGGCCCGCACAAGCGGUGGAGCAUGUGGUUUAAUUCGAAGCUACGCGAAGAACCUUACCAGGUCUUGACAUACUAUGCAAAUCUAAGAGAUUAGACGUUCCCUUCGGGGACAUGGAUACAGGUGGUGCAUGGUUGUCGUCAGCUCGUGUCGUGAGAUGUUGGGUUAAGUCCCGCAACGAGCGCAACCCUUAUUAUCAGUUGCCAGCAUUCAGUUGGGCACUCUGGUGAGACUGCCGGUGACAAACCGGAGGAAGGUGGGGAUGACGUCAAAUCAUCAUGCCCCUUAUGACCUGGGCUACACACGUGCUACAAUGGCGUAUACAACGAGUUGCCAACCCGCGAGGGUGAGCUAAUCUCUUAAAGUACGUCUCAGUUCGGAUUGUAGGCUGCAACUCGCCUACAUGAAGUCGGAAUCGCUAGUAAUCGCGGAUCAGCACGCCGCGGCGAAUACGUUCCCGGGUCUUGUACACACCGCCCGUCACACCAUGAGAGUUUGUAACACCCAAAGCCGGUGGGGUAACCUUCGGGAGCCAGCCGUCUAAGGUGGGACAGAUGAUUAGGGUGAAGUCGUAACAAGGUAGCCGUA
rnacentral:rRNA from 1 species